ACAAGUAGCGGAGCAUGUGGUUUAAUUCGAAGCAACGCGAAGAACCUUACCUAAGCUUGACAUCCCAAUGACAUCUCCUUAAUCGGAGAGUUCCCUUCGGGGACAUUGGUGACAGGUGGUGCAUGGUUGUCGUCAGCUCGUGUCGUGAGAUGUUGGGUUAAGUCCCGCAACGAGCGCAACCCUUGUCUUUAGUUGCCAUCAUUAAGUUGGGCACUCUAGAGAGACUGCCAGGGAUAACCUGGAGGAAGGUGGGGAUGACGUCAAAUCAUCAUGCCCCUUAUGCUUAGGGCUACACACGUGCUACAAUGGGUAGUACAGAGGGUUGCCAAGCCGUAAGGUGGAGCUAAUCCCUUAAAGCUACUCUCAGUUCGGAUUGUAGGCUGAAACUCGCCUACAUGAAGCUGGAGUUACUAGUAAUCGCAGAUCAGAAUGCUGCGGUGAAUGCGUUCCCGGGUCUUGUACACACCGCCCGUCACACCACGGGAGUUGGAGACGCCCGAAGCCGAUUAUCUAACCUUUUGGAAGAAGUCGUCGAAGGUGGAAUCAAUAACUGGGGUGAAGUCGUAACAAGGUAGCCGUAUCGGAAGGUGCGGCUGGAUCACCUCCUUUCUAAGGA
rnacentral:rRNA from 1 species